UGAGAAGUUUAACGGCGAACGUUAUUCCAAUCACCUAAGAAACUUUUCUGAAGUUCUUGGAGCUGGAAAGAACCUACGAUCUUUGCUGACCUGUUUAGGAUCCUCGGCAAAUUUCUUCUAACCCUGAAAUUUCAGUUAAAAUACAAUUCUGCGGAAGGAAAGUUCAAAUGUCACCUGCUUCAGUGUUUCAUGACAAGGGGUUUUAGUGACGCCAUCACUGUCCGCCGGUACUGUGGCCUGUCCGUAUCACUCCUUUCUACUUUGCUUCCGUAGCUUCUGAGCGACCCGUGAAGAAACUGACGGAAAACGGAAGGAAUUACCGCCAGUUCCUUUCCACGGGACGUCAAGGCCAAUAUAAGUCUCCACCCAGGCUCCUCUGCUCGUAACUUCUAGCACGAUUCCCACUGUAUUCGCCCAUGUUUCCCAAAAGUAUAAGUCCAUUGGUAUUUUACGCACGACAAGACAACUUUGAAGCCCGACUCAUGACCUUUAGAUUAAGAAACACUCUCCGGGAGCCCUGCUGAUCGCUGGGUCUUACGAGGUUGAUGCCUGCUGUCCCAAAGAGAACUAUUUCCCUGCGUGUUUCCGCCUGGCUGCCCACUUCUCCAGUGGAGAAACAGCUGUUCCUCGGAUUCAUUUUUGGAAGUUCUUUGGGUCCUGGGUAAAUGGGGCCGCGUCUUGCAGCGUCGACAAGGUGGUUGAAUACGCAGGAACACCCACAGUACCCAGGGACUAAUAAAUAGCUCAAUAGGUAAGUUUCGAAUAAUUGAAUAAAGGAAGUCUCAACCAACCCCCUUGCCGUAUUACAGAUGGUCCACCUCUCUGCCUAGACUAUUGUGCUAAUGUCCUGUUCCUUCUCCCGGCUUUUGAACUAGAUUCUCACCUCUCUCCAAUCCAUCUUUCGCGGGGCUGGCCUGUCUUUCCGCCUCAUUUCUGAAAUUCUAUCCAUUGCCGCCUCUAUGCAAACCGACUCUGGUUAAUCCUUCACUCGGUAUGGCUCCCCUCUUCCGCACUUUGCAUUGCGAGAAAUGCCCUUCCUUGAGGCAGCUGGAGGCCUCCUCCUCCUGAAAGCUUAAUUGUGGACACAGCCUUGAGUAGAGGCGAAAAGGAAAGAAGGCUGGGAGAUAAUGGGGGAAAAACACACUUUUGGUCUGGUUUGAAAGCUGGCGCCCGAAAAGGGGAGCGAAAGGACAAGAAAAAAAAACACGCUCCGAAAGUGUCUGAGAUUGCUGCGGCCGUAAAGCAGAGCACUAACCGCGGUACUGACACGGGAGGGGAGCAGGGCUCCACCGCCGGGCCUGUGCCCAUGGACCUAGGUGAGGACGGGCUCUCCUUCCUCCGCGCCCAAAUGUUGCAUUUCCCAAGACCACCCUGGCCCGCCACGCCCCCAUCCUGUGCCUAUAAAAACUCCCGAGACCCUAGCGGGCACGGACACAAGCGGCUGGACGUGAAGAGGAACACACCGGCGGGAGAACACAGAACACCCACCCUCUCUUUAGUCACCCUGGAGGCCUCGGAGAAGGCGGUUUCGGUGAUCCGUGAAGAGACCCUGAGUCUUUUACGUCCCGGAGAAUGACAAGAGAGCGAGUACCUGGGCGACGUUUACUUUCUGGGAUUUCGGGAGAUGCGGUUUUCUGCACGCCAGGGGCCAAGCCUGAGACGUAGACGGACGGCAGGGAUAGGAGCUCUCUCCGCGUCACAAACGCCGCUGCUCAUACCUGGGUUCCUUGAUUUUCCUGCCUAUAUAACCCAACUUCCCGUGGCCGGGCUCUGAGCUCUCAUUCUGCGGACUGGGACAAAGGGGUUAACUGUCAUGCGCUUUGUAUAACCCCAGGAUUCUGCACUUGCCCAAGGGCGAGGCGCAAAUCCAAAACCACGCACAACUGAACACCGAGAUCAGCUGAGUCCUCAGUGUCUCACGACACAAAAUCCCUACGAUUUUAACAAGAGUUGUAUUUGUGCUAGCACUGUUACUGACAAACGCAUGUCAGAUCCCAUCUGUCUUUAGCUCAAUGUGUGACGUUAGACACGUCGUUUUGCUCCUCAACUUUCUUAUUUGGAAAAAAAAAAGCAACUGUUCUAGAUUUGCAGAGGGCCUUUUCAGAGCUAAGUUCCAGUAGCUAUACUGUAAGUUGAUCUCUUGGGCAGUCCUGUUGGUGAGGAAAGAGGGCAAAUUGAGAAAUGAACAAACAGAGAAGUUGCAAAAGCCCUGUGACUUGCAGCACAGGACAAGUCUACAAACCCUGCCAUGCCACACUAAGCUCAAAUUGUUUUAACACCAGCUUACUCAGACCCGAUGAUCCAAGAUAAGACCAAAGCCAAACGGAUCCAGCAACUCUGCGCAGAUCUUCAUGUUCCAGCAGCUAAGUUCCACUGAAUAAACCUAUGAUUCGCCUCGUUUAGAAAUUCUGGCCGUGCGCGGUGGCUCACGUCUGUAAUCCCAGCACUUUCGGAGGCCGCGGCGGGCGGAUCACAAGGUCAGGAGAUCGAGACCAUCCUGGCUAACACGGUGAAACUCCGUCUCUACUAAAAAUACAAAAAAAAAUUAGCCGGGCGAGGUGGCGGGCGCCUGUUGUCCCAGCUACUCGGGAGGCUGAGGCAGAAGAAUGGCUUGAACCCGGGAGGCGGAGCUUGCAGUGAGCCGAGAUCGCGCCACUGCACUCCAGCCGGGACGACAGAGCAAGACUCCGUCUCAAAAAAAAAAAAAAAGAAAGGAAAGAAGAGAAAAGAAAUUCUGUCCAGUCCCUCCUGAGAAGGACCUUACUAACUUUCCCCCUAAAACUGUCCUAUGAAUAGCUCCAGUCCCCAAACCCUUUAAAUUCUGGUCUCUGACUCACCCUUGUUUUAGGCGGUACUGGGACUCCAUAGAGGCGGGGCUCUUUGCUCAGCAAAUUUAAUAAAUCCAAGGUAGUGGAAUCAA